CCUACGUGUGGCAGCAGUGGGGGAUAUUGCACAAUGGGGGGAACCCUGAUGCAGCGCCGCCGCGUGGGUGAAGGAGUGCUUCGGCAUGUAAAGCCCUAUCGGCAGGGAAGAAGCAAGACGGUACCUGACUAAGAAGCCCCGGCUAACUACGUGCCAGCCGCCGCGGUAAUACGUAGGGGGCAAGCGUUGUCCGGAUGUACUGGGUGUAAAGGGCGUGUAGCCGGGCUGACAAGUCAGAUGUGAAAUCCGGGGGCUCAACCCCCGAACUGCAUUUGAAACUGUUGGUCUUGAGUAUCGGAGAGGCAGGCGGAAUGCCUAGUGUAGCGGUGAAAUGCGUAGAGAUUAGGAGGAACACCAGUGGCGAAGGCGGCCUGCUGGACGACAACUGACGGUGAGGCGCGAAAGCGUGGGGAGCAAACAGGAUUAGAUACCCCUGUAGUC
rnacentral:rRNA from 1 species